GGCUUAACACAAUACAGCUUUGUGAUGUCACAGUUUCAUAGCUCAGAAGUCCAAUGCAAGACUCAUUUAAAAUCAGGCUAAAAUCAAUCCAUAGAUUGAUUCCUUUCUGGAAGUUCUAGAGGAAAAUCAGUUUUCUUGCUUACUUGGGUUAUUUACAAAAUUUAGAUCUUUCAGUUCUAGUAGCCGUCUUUUUCUUUUUUCCUAAUAGUAAACUGAGGAACAUUUCCAUUUUUAAGCGGCCACCCCAUUCCUUGUCUCAUGGAUAUCUUCCACCAUUUUCAAAGCCAGAAGUAUCAUGCCAAAUUCUUCUCACACUUUGUAUCUCUUCGGAUUUUUCUUCUGUUAUACCUUCUGCAUUUUAUCUGGGAAAGGUUCUGAGUUUUCAGUACUCUUGGGAUUAAGUUUGGUCCAUCCAUACAAUCGAGGGUCAUUUCUCGAUUUUAAUCACAUCUUCAAGUCCCCUUUUCCAGCAUAAUGUAGAUGCCUCUCCUGGAGACUCUUUGAAUCUACUUCAUGAGAUCCAUGACACUGUCUGCUAUGUCGUUGCAGAGCUUCUUGCAAGGAAUGAUAGUGAUGUACUUGCUCAUGUGUAAUUUCUGUAGUACUUCUCUAUGAAGACCCAGUUACCUUUAUGGCUUUGGACCAACACUGUUGGUGCAAAUGCUACUGAUGCUGUCAUAUCUGCAUGAGAACCACAGAAUUGCAGCAACCACUCUAGUAGCAGGAAGAGAAUUAAAGAGCCAUGCUCAAGAUGGCAAAGAGGAAAAAGGAGCAAUCAUUGUUCAAUAACCCAAUGAUAUUGCCAAUUCACUGAAUUAAUAAAACCUGGACCCACACC